AGCUGAACACCGGGACUGGCCAGUGUUGAGAGGCGGAGACUUGGGCAAUUGCUGGACGCUGCCCUGGGCAUUGCACUUGUCUCGGUCUGACAGUGCCGGCCCAACACUGCAGAUAUUUGG
rnacentral:pre_miRNA from 15 species